rnacentral:misc_RNA from 1 species
AAAGUCGUAACAAGGUUUCCGUAGGUGAACCUGCGGAAGGAUCAUUACCGUGGGGCUUCGGCCCUGUCGUGAUAGAACCCUUGCCUUUUGAGUACCGUCCGUUUCCUCGGCAGGCCCGCCUGCCAAUGGGGACCCCCAAUAAACUCUUUUAUGUACCUGUAUCAGUCUGAAAAACAAACAAAAAUUAAAACUUUCAACAACGGAUCUCUUGGUUCUG